GUCUACAGCCAUUCCACCCUGAAUGUGCCUGAUCUCGGAAGCAAAGCAGGGUCAGGCCUGGUUAGUACUUGGAUGGGUGACCACCUGGGAAUACUGGUUGCUGUAGGCU
rnacentral:rRNA from 1 species